CAUAAAGCUAGAUUGAAACUGGUAGAAGCCAUGGCACAGCGGCAAUCAGUUGGCUUCUGUAUCGACGCAAUUGAGAAUGCUAUCGAUGGAAGACAAAUAUAAAUAGUGAAACUACAUUCCUUUAAUGUUGCAUUCUCUUUUGUUGAGUUCUCCGAACAACAUUCUUUUCCAAUUCUAGCUUACCACGAUGGCAAUUCUUG
rnacentral:misc_RNA from 1 species